GGCUUUUCGCAGUGGCAGUAUCAUAGCCAAUGAGGUUCAUCUGAGGUGUGAUUAUUGCUAAUUGAAAACUUUUCCCAAUACCUCGCCAUGACGACUUGAAGUAUAGUCAGCAUUGGCAAUUUUUGACAGUCUCUAUGGAGA
ensembl:snRNA U4 U4 spliceosomal RNA